rnacentral:lncRNA from 1 species
AUUCUGUCAAGCAUGAUUUAUGUUUACCGAGUUAUAUUGGUAUGGUUUUCAAUCUAAGACUAAGUAUGCUAAAAUAUUUUUUUCGUUUAACGACAGGCACGUGAGGUUGCCACAACUUAAACGUAUACACGUUUAAUGAAUGUAGUGUUGAUCAACAUAGAGUACUAUGGGCUGAUCACCCAGAAGUGCUCGUAAGCUAUGCCGGACUUACGAACUUAGUGUCGGGUUGUCCUUUUUAAAAGAAAUUAUGAAAUGUUCAUAGUUUCGAGACUUAGUUGAUAUUCUACUGAAUAUUGUUGUUGGAAAACGUUUUGAAUGAAAAGAAGUGCUAUUUUGAAUUAUCGAUAGUACUUCGUAACUAUUGUUCAGUUACUGAAGAUAUAUGAGUUUUAUGUUUCAAGCAUGUUGUUUAUUAGAAUUGUAGUACUUGCUGAGCUAGUC